rnacentral:rRNA from 1 species
CUAUACAUGCAAGUCGAGCGAAUGGAUUAAGAGCUUGCUCUUAUGAAGUUAGCGGCGGACGGGUGAGUAACACGUGGGUAACCUGCCCAUAAGACUGGGAUAACUCCGGGAAACCGGGGCUAAUACCGGAUAACAUUUUGAACCGCAUGGUUCGAAAUUGAAAGGCGGCUUCGGCUGUCACUUAUGGAUGGACCCGCGUCGCAUUAGCUAGUUGGUGAGGUAACGGCUCACCAAGGCAACGAUGCGUAGCCGACCUGAGAGGGUGAUCGGCCACACUGGGACUGAGACACGGCCCAGACUCCUACGGGAGGCAGCAGUAGGGAAUCUUCCGCAAUGGACGAAAGUCUGACGGAGCAACGCCGCGUGAGUGAUGAAGGCUUUCGGGUCGUAAAACUCUGUUGUUAGGGAAGAACAAGUGCUAGUUGAAUAAGCUGGCACCUUGACGGUACCUAACCAGAAAGCCACGGCUAACUACGUGCCAGCAGCCGCGGUAAUACGUAGGUGGCAAGCGUUAUCCGGAAUUAUUGGGCGUAAAGCGCGCGCAGGUGGUUUCUUAAGUCUGAUGUGAAAGCCCACGGCUCAACCGUGGAGGGUCAUUGGAAACUGGGAGACUUGAGUGCAGAAGAGGAAAGUGGAAUUCCAUGUGUAGCGGUGAAAUGCGUAGAGAUAUGGAGGAACACCAGUGGCGAAGGCGACUUUCUGGUCUGUAACUGACACUGAGGCGCGAAAGCGUGGGGAGCAAACAGGAUUAGUCCUGUUUUUU